rnacentral:lncRNA from 1 species
AUGCAAGCUGAAAUGAAUUUGUUUUCUGCUUUUAAAGUCCUCUUUGCAUCCCCUCCUCCUCUCCUGGGAUCCCUGCAGAGUGGUGAGAACCCAGAGAAGGCCUCCAUUGCAGUCUGUGGGCUUGGGCUUCCUAGCCAGUCAUGACAUUAGUUUCAGCCCAAACACCUAACGCCUGUGUAAGUGGGAAUAAGGAAGGUUGGAGCUGUCUCUGUGGUUAUUUUCUCCAAUCAGAGGGAUAGCAUACGUAAAAAUGUUUUGAAAAGAAAGCGUGAAGGGUUUCAAUUGGCCUCCAUGAUAAAUAGGACUAAAAGUGUCAAAGAUGCUGAACCGUCCAGUUUCCACGGACAAAACCUGGUUACAUUUACACAUCUUAAAAGUUUUACCAGGGCAACGCUGCCAUUCUUGAGGGGUUGCUAUAACAAAGAGUCUUUAAUUUGUUUAUAAAGAUUUUUUUUUUUUCAGGCUGGUCAUACAUAGCCCAAGAUGGCCUCAAAUUCUUGAUCUGCUUGUUUUGGCUUCCCAAGUGGUUGGGCUACAGACCUGUUUACCAUUCUUAGCUAGUACUUUCAAUGUUUCUACAGGUAGAAAUGCCCUGCAUCUCUGAGGUAGGCAGUGUAGGGAAGUGAGUGGUUUUCCAAUCUCACUUCAUAACAGGUCUCAGCCUACUAUGAACCCCAAUCUCUUUGCUCCCACAAUGAUUCUCCAAUCUUCCUUCCAGGUCUCAGCCUGCUACGAACCCCAUCCUCUGCUCCUCGACAAUGAUCCUCCAGUCCCCACAUCCCAGCAUCAGCCUACACCGAACCCUGUUCUCUGCUUACCCACAACUCUAAGCUGAUCCUUUGGGUAGGAUGGAGGUUCAACUCUGGAGCCUUUGGUGGCUAAAGGGCAGGAUGAUCCUAAGUACAAUCUAUCAUAGGGUCUCUCCCCAAGGUCAGGCCAUUCAUUAUAAGACAUGCUGGCAGUGUCUAAAAUGGAGAUGGCCUGGCAACUGGGAUGGCAUAAUGUUUCUAGCAACCUCCAGACCCUCGGUUGCUAUGGACAGAGACAAAGAUGAAAGGACCUGGAUUGUGCUUUGCAUACCCUGUCUUCCCAUGAGCAAGGGGCCAACAGAGGGAGUAUGGAAGUAGAGAGGGAAAGCCUGGCUUGUUUUAAAGAAGACAGGAAGAGAGGCAAAUAAAAUGGUUAUCAGAGGCUGAUGGAGGGCAGGAGCUGGGUGGGAAAGGGGAUGGAAAGAAAAUAGGGGAGGGAUCAGGUGUGGAGAGAGAUGGCCAGAUGCUAUGAGAAAGAAUGGAAAUCUGUAGCUGGCAGGGGGUGGGGCUGGGGAAUAGGAAACAUCUUCAGGACACGUUGGAGACCUGGGAUAGGGGAGGCUCCCAAGAAUCAAUGGGGCUGACCUUAGCUAGACAUCAGUGGGGAUAUGAAACCUGAAGAGGCCACCUCCUGUCGACAGGUGGGAACCCCGGUGGAACGAUAGGGACACUAACCCACCCACAAAACUUUCAACCCCUAAUUUAUCCUGCCUACAAGAAAUGCAGGGUUGGGGAUGAAGCAUAGACUGAGGGAAUGGUCCACUCAUAAGGGGCCCAGCUAGUAGACACCCAUCCCCUGGGCAAGUGACAGUCCCUGACACUACUGAUAUGCUAUGCUUACAGACUGGAGCCUAGCAUGGCUGUCUUUUGAGAGGCUCCACCUAGCAGUUGACUCAGAUGCAGAAAUCCACAGCCAAAGAUUGGAUGGAGCUUGGAACUCUUUUAUGGAAGAGUUGGAGGAAGGAUUGAGGGCCCAGAAGGGGAUAGGAACUCCACAAGAAGACCAACAGUCAACUAACCUGGACCCUUGGGGGCUCUCAGAGACUGGACCACCAACAAAAGAGCAUUCAGUGGCUGGAUCUAACUGCCCCCUUUUGCCUGUACUAUGGACAGCUCUCAACCCACCCCUACCUGCCCUCGGGGGUUGGGGGUGAGUUGGCGCAGAGUCAAGGACAUGGACAGACCCCUGGUAACAGGUGAGAAAUGCUGCAGCAAGCUCAUCUGAGCACUGCUGCAAGCUCUCUUAAUACCCUCCACCCAUGGCCCCAUUGGUCCCAAGAAAGCAUUCUGAACAGCAGUUAAUGAUUGGCUGGUAUUAUUUGCACCAGCAAUUCUUUCUCUCUUAGGCAGUCCUCAGUUAGGUCCUCCUGCAGGAAUGCUGGUGUCAUAGACAGUCCUCAAUUAGGUCCUCCUGCGGGAGAUGCUUCUGCAGCUGCACAGCCCCCAGCAUUUACACGGGCAACUCUGCGGUUCCUGCUACAGCCCCCGUUCCUCGCACGCACAUACGUAGCAGAUGUGCAGCUAGGUCUUCAUUUAGGUCCGGAACAACUGGAGCUGGACUAUCCCUAAAGCUGUUGCCUGUUUGUGGAAUCUGCUUCCCUAACUUGGCUGUCUUGUCUGGCCUCAGUAGGAGAAGAAGUGCCUAGCCCAGCAGGACUUGCUGUAUCAGGGUUGGGGGAUACCCAGAGAAGGCGUUAGUUACUCUUCUCGGUGGUGUGACAAAAAACCUGGUGGAAAAUAAGAAGAAAGGAUCUUUUUCAUUCACAGUCUGCGGUUGUAGACCAUGUAGCAGCUGCUCACAUUUUGUCCAGUCAGGAAACAGAUGGACGCUCAAUGUUUCAGUUACUGUUACUAAACAGAAACAGCUUAAGAGAGAAAGGGGUCACUUCCACUUGAAUUUCAAGGAUACAGGUAUGUCUAUGAGGGUGUCAAUGCCCUGGUACUGGAGUUGCAGACAGUUGUGAGUUGCUACGUGGGAGCUUGGAAUUAAACUCCAGUCCUCCGGAAGAACAGCUAGUAUUCUUUUCUUUUCCCAACAGAGUAGUUUUAUUGCUUAUUUGGGAAUUUGACGUAAUGCACCCUGAUCAUACUCACUUCCCAGGCUUUCCAGGUCCACCUCACCCUUGUAAGCCCCCCACUCCCCCCAAGUCCACAAGUUCAAUUUAUGUUGCUCAUAUACUCACUGGAGCGUGGUCAAAGUCCAAGUGGCCAACCCCUAAAAGAAAACUGAGUUCUUUCCCAUCCUCACUCUUGCCAGAAGCCCUCAGCUGUGCAGAGCCACACUUCAGUUUCCUGAGCACACUUUUAAGAGUUCUCUUCAAUGCGGCCAGUAGUGUAACCACUGAGCCAUCUCUUCAGCACCCCCAUUUUGGUUAUCAUUCCUCUAUCUCUCCCUUCAAACCCACACGUAUAUCCUCCCUUGCUCUCUUUCAGCUUCAUGACCUUUUUAUUUCAUUUUACGUUUCAUUGUUGUAUAUGUAUGUAUAUGUAUUUCUAAACGUACCCUGCUCAGUCUGUAAUAUUUGUUGUUCUGGGCAGCUCUUAUCCAAGAUAAGGAGAUCAGGACCAGCUCUUUAUGAAUUUUAAGUUUUUAUUGAGCCACACAGAGCUGUCCAGGGGGCACUCACCACUUUGACUGUAAGUAUAAAGAGGCACCCCAACUCUGUAAAGAAGGUUGUAAAGGUAAAACCUACAGGUUGGGCACAUCCCAUGAGCUCUGUUGAGGUGGCUGUUGGCAAGCAUGACAGGAUAAAGACUUUUUACAAAAAUGGGGCACAGCUGUGUUACCAUGGUAUCACUGUUUGAUGAGGGAGAGGAGCAGAAAGCCUCAUGGUUAUAAAAGCCGAACAAUGGCAGGCAACUUAAGGUUCCCAUAAGUAGUUUACAUGCCUGAGGGUCAGACAGACCUCAGUCUUAGCCUGAGGUAGGGUCAGGAAUUAGCAGACAUGUUUUUCCUCACUACAUACAUUGUGAUAUUCUUCUUAGCAGUUCAUGGAACCUUCUCUAAAAUAGAGCACAUUUGAAGUCACAAAUAAAGAUGUACUGAAUACAAAAUAACUGAAUCGCUUGUAUCUUCUCAGCUCAUCCUGCAACAGAACCAGGAAUCGAU